AACGAACCCUGGCGGCGCGUUUUAUCCAUGCAAGUCGAGCGGCAAGGGCCUUCGGGCCCCUAAAGCGGCGGACGGGUGAUUAACACGUGUACAAUCUGCCCCCCGGCCGGGGAUAGCCCAUGGAAACCUGGAUUAAUACCGGAUGAGACGGGACCCGCGGAGGCGGGAUCCGGGAAAGGCGCUGCGGCGCCGCCGGGGGAUGAGUCUGCGUCCCAUUAGCUUGACGGCGGGGUAACGGCCCACCGUGGCGACGAUGGGUAGCUGAGCUGAGAGGCUGAUCGGCCACUCUGGGACUGAGACACGGCCCAGACUCCUACGGGAGGCAGCAGUGGGGAAUCUUGCGCAAUGGGCGAAAGCCUGACCCAGCAACGCCGCGUGCGGGAUGAAGGCUCUCGGGUCGUAAACCGCUUUCAGCAGGGAUGAAAAUGACAGUACCUGCAGAAGAAGCCCCGGAUAAAUACCUGCCAGCACCCGCGGUAAUACGUAUGGGGCAAGCGUUAUCCGGAUUCAUUGGGCGUAAAGCGCGCGUAGGCGGCUUGUUUGAUCAGGCGUGAAAUCCGGGGGCUCAACCCGCGGCUUGCGUCUGAAACUGGCAGGCUUGAGUCUGGUAGAGGAAAGUGGAAUUCCUGGUGUACCGGUGAAAUGCGCAGAUAUCACGAGGAACUCCAGUGGCGAACGCUGCUUUCUGGGCCACGACUGACGCUGAUGCGCGAAAGCGUGGGGAGCACACA
rnacentral:rRNA from 1 species